rnacentral:miRNA from 2 species
AUGUGAACAGUGUCAAACAGUGUC